CCCUGAAAGCGCAGGGCUGCCAUGGUACAGGGGCGAUGGGGGCCGAGUCUUCAUCCUUGGAAGCCUGGAUUUCGGCAAGCACAGGGGGGUCGACCAGUCGGCGGGCCGCGGGAGGGCCCCCAACAACACCGGGCCAGACCUGUUGGUAUACAGCCUCACGCAACGGAAAGACUCCGAGGCGUCCCCAGGCCGUAGGCCAACGCCGGACAGACUGCUGUCAGCCUCCCUUGGCCUUCUCUUCUGUCAACCUUGUGGUCCCCAAUUGUUUUUUCUCCUCUCCCAUUCUCUUUUUAAGCACUACAGUGACCCCUCAUUUAUCUGCCAUUGACAAGGAAUGGACUACUUCUGAAAUACCUAUUUAACGCUAAGACGUUAUUUCCUGGAUUUGGCGGUCUCACUAAUACUCAUUACUGGAAGCCACGUCCUCAGACGCCAUGCAGAAGCUCAGCUCAGUUGUCGUGAACACCCUGUUGUACGGCGAUGCUGGGCACCUGGGUUCUUCUCCCUCACUGCCGGCUGCCUCGGUGCACACCUCUCAGCAGUCUCCUGCUGCCGGGCGCCCUGGCUCGGCGGCCACCGGCCCACCCACUCCUCACUCGGCACCAGCGGUUCUCAACCAGAGACGAUUCUGCCCCAAGACAUUUGGCAAUGUCUGAUGACAGUCUGGGUUGUCAUGACUCGUGAUGGGGGGGGGUGUCUAUGUCUACUCGUGGGUCGAGGUCAGGACUCCACUAAACACCCGGCAACGGCACAGGAUGGCCACGCCACAAGGAACUGUCAGGCCCCAAAUGUAACAGCGCCAAGUGCGGGAAACCCUCGUGUGGAAGACAACCAGACUGCACAACUCAGCAAGAUGUCACAACCACCCAUCGCUUCACUCUUCUGGAUCAAGAGGGAGCAGCGAGGCCAGCAGGCCUGUUGGAGCUGCAAGAACACCGGAGCUCUUGGCUCCGGGAAGAGCUAGGCACAUCUCUGCUCUCCUCCUUCCAACUUUGUCUUCCUGAGGACAAGGCUUAGAGACGCAACUCUGCGGCUGCAGGGCCCAGCCCUGAGCAGGUGCUCAACGAAUAUCUGUCAAACUAGAUUGGACUCGAGGCAUUCACCAGGUGCCUGAGCGUGGGUAGCCCCGGCUGGGCCUUGGCUGUAAGGCGGAAGACGCAGAGCUGGCAGCAGGAAACCGUGAGAGCCAUGGACGCCCGGGAUGCGUGAAGUCCGCAGGUGGAGCGCAGACCCGUCCACCAACAGAGAGAUGAGAAGGGCUGGCCAGCAUCACCACGUGCACACGUCACCACCAAGUCACUUCCCGCUCCCCCCCCACGCCCUAUUUACCUGUCUUAAUAAAGGAAGUUUUCCCAGAGUGGUUUAGUCAGAACUGGAAGGGCCCUGCCCUGUGGGGACAGGGGAGCAGCCUGGCGGGCACCCGCAGCUAGCGGGGGUGAGCAGUGCGGUCAGCAGGGACCCCAGC
rnacentral:lncRNA from 1 species